AUUUAAAUAGCUUAUGUAAUUAGAGCAUAAUAUUGAAGAUAUUAAGGAGAUAAUUUUAUCUUUAAAUA
rnacentral:tRNA from 1 species